rnacentral:rRNA from 1 species
AUUGAACGCUGGCGGCAGGCCUAACACAUGCAAGUCGAACGGUAACAGGAAGAAGCUUGCUUCUUUGCUGACGAGUGGCGGACGGGUGAGUAAUGUCUGGGAAACUGCCUGAUGGAGGGGGAUAACUACUGGAAACGGUAGCUAAUACCGCAUAACGUCGCAAGACCAAAGAGGGGGACCUUCGGGCCUCUUGCCAUCGGAUGUGCCCAGAUGGGAUUAGCUAGUAGGUGGGGUAACGGCUCACCUAGGCGACGAUCCCUAGCUGGUCUGAGAGGAUGACCAGCCACACUGGAACUGAGACACGGUCCAGAGUCCUACGGGAGGCAGCAGUGGGGAAUAUUGCACAAUGGGCGCAAGCCUGAUGCAGCCAUGCCGCGUGUAUGAAGAAGGCCUUCGGGUUGUAAAGUACUUUCAGCGGGGAGGAAGGGAGUAAAGUUAAUACCUUUGCUCAUUGACGUUACCCGCAGAAGAAGCACCGGCUAACUCCGUG